rnacentral:tRNA from 1 species
CUGAGUAUAUAACUCAGUGGUAGAGUGCUUGCCUAGUAUGCACUAGGCCUUUGAUUCAAUACCAAGUGCUGGGA